GUGAUGGCAGGUCUUCCUCACCGAAAUCAGCUUGUUCUCCCUCCUAUCUUGCCCCAGUUUUCUUGGCCAAGCCCAUUCCUGGGCCUUUUUCAGGUCCUUUUAAAGCUGGGGUAAAGAAUUGGGCCCUGCUGUAGUUGUCAGGGAAAUGGGGGCAACAGUUUUCAUGCCUCAGCUUUAUGCUCACACACUGUGAUCUUUUUCUUCUGCUCCCCUGUAGCCCUCUUUCUCCCCUUAGGCCCACCAUGGAUAGAAGCAGGGAAAUUGCUAGAAGAGUCUGGUCUGGAGUACAGGAUACAGAGGAGCUGGGCCAAGAUCAAGUUGAGAUUGAGGAGGCAGGAAUAACUUGUUGGAAAUUGCUUCAGGAGGGCAAGGACCUUAUCAGUUUUGCUUCCCAGCACCUUAUACUCAGUAAAUACCUGUUGCACGACUGAACCUUAAGUAACAAGAACAUAAACUGUGUUGUCCACAUUAGAUGUAGAAUAAAAGAUGACCCCCUAGGAAGACAAAGCCAGGGACCAGGCCCACCUCUGGAGAGCAGAGUGCAGGCUGGAUUUCAGCUCCAUCCUCCCCGCCCUGUGUGCCCUUGCCCCUCUCUCCAACAGGAGUCUGUUUCCUCACUCCUUGAAUCUGACUGGCCUUGUGACUUGCUUUGAUCAAUAGAAUGCAGUGGAACUGACGCUGUGUCAGUUCCAAGGCUAGGCCUUAAGAGACCUUGUGUGAUGCUGCCUGCUCUCUUGGAACCCAGCCAACCAGCUUUGAGAAUCAGCUACCCUGCUGGAGGAUGGGAGACCACAUGAAACAGAGGUAACUGUGUCAGCUGAGGGCCAUUUAAGACCAGCCAGAUAACAGCCAACCAGCAGCUGGCCUCAUGUGUAUGAGUGAGACUAGCCAAGACCAGAACUGCCCAGCUGAGCCUAACCCAAAUUGCUGCCCUGUGGAAUUAUAAGAUAAAUAAAUAAUUUUUGUUUUAAGCCACUAAGGAUUGGCAUGAUUUGUUUUGCAGCAAACUAUAACUGAUACACGCCCGGGCGUGGUGGCUCAUGCCUGUAAUCCUAGCACUCUGGGAGGCCGAGGCGGGCAGAUUGCUCGAGGU